rfam:Byssochlamys spectabilis No. 5 DNA, contig: PVAR5_00035_1.
GGCAAGAUGGCCGAGUUGGUCCAAGGCGUCAGGUUAAGGUCUACCUUAAUACCAACUUCUCAGUUAAGUUCCUGAUCAGCGUAAGCUGGCGUGGGUUCGAAUCCCACUCUUGUCA